UCCGGGGCUAAAACUUACUACCGAAGCUACGGCAUCAGUAAUGAUGGGUAGGGGAGCUUCCCAUACGGGUUGAAGCAUGACCGUAAGGACAUGUGGACAGUAUGGGAGUGAGAAUGUUGGCAUGAGUAGCGAGAUGUGGGGGAGAAUCCCACAGGCCGUAAACCCAAGGUUUCCAGGGGAAGGUUCGUCCGCCCUGGGUUAGUCGGGACCUAAGC
rnacentral:rRNA from 1 species